rnacentral:tRNA from 1 species
GGUAAAAUGACUGAUUUAAGGUGAUAAAUUGUAAAUUUAUUUAUGAUGCAUAAUCUUUUACUA